AACGAACGCUGGCGGCAUGCCUAACACAUGCAAGUCGAACGAGACCUUCGGGUCUAGUGGCGCACGGGUGCGUAACGCGUGGGAACCUGCCCUUAGGUUCGGAAUAACUCCCCGAAAGGGGUGCUAAUACCGGAUAAUGUCUUCGGACCAAAGAUUUAUCGCCUUUGGAUGGGCCCGCGUUGGAUUAGCUAGUUGGUAGGGUAAAAGCCUACCAAGGCGACGAUCCAUAGCUGGUCUGAGAGGAUGAUCAGCCACACUGGGACUGAGACACGGCCCAGACUCCUACGGGAGGCAGCAGUGGGGAAUAUUGGACAAUGGGCGAAAGCCUGAACCAGCAAUGCCGGGUGAGUGAUGAAGGCCUUAGGGUUGUAAAGCUCUUUUACCCGGGAUGAUAAUGACAGUACCGGGAGAAUAAGCUCCGGCUAACUCCGUG
rnacentral:rRNA from 1 species